rnacentral:rRNA from 1 species
UUCUCUCCAGAGUGGAUCCUGAGUACGGCGGAACACGUGAAAUUCCGUCGGAAUCCGGGAGGACCAUCUCCCAAGGCUAAAUACUCCCUAGUGACCGAUAGUGAACCAGUACCGUGAGGGAAAGGUGAAAAGCACCCCGGAAGGGGAGUGAAAUAGAUCCUGAAACCGUGUGCCUACAAGUAGUCAGAGCCCGUUAACGGGUGAUGGCGUGCCUUUUGUAGAAUGAACCGGCGAGUUACGAUCCCGUGCAAGGUUAAGCAGAAGAUGCGGAGCCGCAGCGAAAGCGAGUCUGAAUAGGGCGCAUGAGUACGUGGUCGUAGACCCGAAACCAGGUGAUCUACCCAUGUCCAGGGUGAAGUUCAGGUAACACUGAAUGGAGGCCCGAACCCACGCACGUUGAAAAGUGCGGGGAUGAGGUGUGGGUAGGGGUGAAAUGCCAAUCGAACCUGGAGAUAGCUGGUUCUCUCCGAAAUAGCUUUAGGGCUAGCCUCAAGGUAAGAGUCUCGGAGGUAGAGCACUGAUUGGACUAGGGGCCCCUACCGGGUUACCGAAUUCAGUCAAACUCCGAAUGCCGAUGACUUAUCCUUGGGAGUCAGACUGCGAGUGAUAAGAUCCGUAGUCGAAAGGGAAACAGCCCAGACCGCCAGCUAAGGUCCCAAAGUAUACGUUAAGUGGAAAAGGAUGUGGAGUUGCUUAGACAACCAGGAUGUUGGCUUAGAAGCAGCCACCAUUUAAAGAGUGCGUAAUAGCUCACUGGUCGAGUGACUCUGCGCCGAAAAUGUACCGGGGCUAAACGUAUCACCGAAGCUGCGGACUGUUCUUACGAACAGUGGUAGGAGAGCGUUCUAAGGGCUGUGAAGCCAGACCGGAAGGACUGGUGGAGCGCUUAGAAGUGAGAAUGCCGGUAUGAGUAGCGAAAGACGGGUGAGAAUCCCGUCCACCGAAUGCCUAAGGUUUCCUGAGGAAGGCUCGUCCGCUCAGGGUUAGUCGGGACCUAAGCCGAGGCCGAAAGGCGUAGGCGAUGGACAACAGGUUGAUAUUCCUGUACCACCUCCUCACCAUUUGAGCAAUGGGGGGACGCAGGAGGAUAGGGUAAGCGCGGUAUUGGAUAUCCGCGUCCAAGCAGUUAGGCUGGGAAAUAGGCAAAUCCGUUUCCC